rnacentral:miRNA from 1 species
GCAGACACAUUCCAGCCAAUCAGCAGCAGACCCUCCUUCCCAGACCCUCCCACCUCCUGGACAGCAUCCAUUUUACAUUCAUUGUGAAGCUGCAUUCUUAGUGAGCUGUCCAGGAGGUGGGAGGGUCUGGGAGGGAGGGUCUGCUGUUGAUUGGCUCAAAUGUGUCU